rnacentral:rRNA from 1 species
AUGCGAUACUUGGUGUGAAUUGCAGAAUUCAGUGAAUCAUCGAAUCUUUGAACGCACCUUGCGCCCCUUGGUAUUCCGAGGGGCAUGCCUGUUUGAGUGUCAUGUUUAUCUCAAACCCCUUGUCUUUGUUGACUCGGUUUGGUUUGGAUUUGGAGGGUUUGCUGGCAUUUAAUGUCUACUUGAUUGUAGACUUUGUCGGCUCCUCUUAAAUUCAUUAGCUAGGACUUUGGUUCGCAUGAAACGGUGUAAUAGUAAAGUGUUCAUCGGAGUGCUUGCUUAAUGAGUCUGCUUCUAAUUGUCCUUUGGACAAGGUCACUUUUGACCUUUGUUGACCUUUUGACCUCAAAUCAGGUAGGAUUACCCGCUGAACUUAAGCAUAUCAAUAGGCGGAGGA